rnacentral:rRNA from 1 species
CGUGUAGCCGGGUCGGUAAGUCAGAUGUGAAAUCUACGGGCUCAACUCGUAAACUGCAUUUGAAACUGCUGAUCUUGAGUAUCGGAGAGGCAAUCGGAAUUCCUAGUGUAGCGGUGAAAUGCGUAGAUAUUAGGAGGAACACCAGUGGCGAAGGCGGAUUGCUGGACGAUAACUGACGCUGAGGCGCGAAAGCGUGGGAGCAAACA